CCAAAGCUUGUCUUUUAGAUCAACAAAUAGCAUUUAAAGAGAAAAAGGAUGAUAUUUUUAAAUCCUGUAUAUUUAGACGAGACACAGGGUUCAAAUUGUUAAUCUGUAGCCUCAUUUAAAUGCAAACUUGCUGAAUUUAUUUUGCUAUAAAAUAGUUUAGGUUUGACUUUUACAAUCAUUUGAUGGUAUGAAAUACCCACAUUUAUACCAUACACCAUACACUCACUGUUCCCCUUUUCCAUUCAAGUCAUACACAACUUGUACCAUUAAGAAUAACUCCAAGUGAUGUAAACUAUAAAUUUUAAAACAUUAUCUUUAAACCUACUAAAAUUUGAAACAUUUGUCUUGCACCAUUUACGUAUUCCAAUGCACAUUUGAAUUGAAAGUUUCCACCAC
rnacentral:lncRNA from 1 species